rnacentral:rRNA from 1 species
AGAGUGAACGCUGGCGGUAGGCCUAACACAUGCAAGUCGAACGGCAGCACAGUAGGAGCUUGCUCUUACGGGUGGCGAGUGGCGGACGGGUGAGGAAUACAUCGGAAUCUACCUUUUGGUGGGGGAUAACGUAGGGAAACUUACGCUAAUACCGCAUACGCCCUUCAGGGGAAAGCCGGGGACCAGCAAUGGCCUGGUGCUGAUAGAUGAGCCGAUGUCGGAUUAGCUAGUUGGUGAGGUAAUGGCUCACCAAGGCGACGAUCCGUAGCGUGUCUGAGAGA